GGAGAUGUGAAAUGUUUUCUAAGUUUAUGUUUUUCUUACUCAGACUCUGUUUCUGUACAUCCUUCCAGACUUUUUACCAAUGAUUCCUCAAAGGUCUCCAAUUCUUCAAAUGAAAUUCGCAAGAGACAGAGGUCGAUGCAUAUAUGGAAUGAGCUGCCAGAGGAAAUGGUAGAGGAUCCAGAACUCACCAUCUUUCACUGAAAAGGAGACAAGGUCCUAAGAAAGAAGAGCGAAAAUUAGAUUGAAUAUGAGUUCUUCCAAAGUAAAAGAAAACAUUUCACAGAAAUUCUCAAAUAAAUAUAUGCAGCACCAAUGGAACCUCAAGAAAAAAGUGAAGAAUCCAAUAAGGCACAGCUGACGUAACAGCACAGCAGGAUGCCAUACAGAAUGUGUACCUGAGUGAUGAGGAUUGGACUACCCUCCAAAACCUGUUCUUUUAGUAGCAGGUCUGCAAACGUGUCUGUUCCUUCGCCUCCCAUUCCAUUGGCAAAAGCCUCCAUAACUGGCAAGACAGAUUCUGAGAGCUGCAGCCAUUGUACAAGUCCUUUAAUAAAUUUCAUUCUGUACUGCCUACAAAACAAAGAAAUACAUUUAGUGACCUCCCUUUAACAAAUCUUGUAAAUAAAAGUGACCAAUGCAUAUAUGCAUGAACACU